GACGAACGCUGGCGGCGUGCUUAACACAUGCAAGUCGAACGGAAAGGCCUCUUUCGGGGGGUACUCGAGUGGCGAACGGGUGAGUAACACGUGAGUAACCUGCCCUUGACUUUGGGAUAACUUCAGGAAACUGGGGCUAAUACCGGAUAGGAGCUCCUGCUGCAUGGUGGGGGUUGGAAAGUUUCGGCGGUUGGGGAUGGACUCGCGGCUUAUCAGCUUGUUGGUGGGGUAGUGGCUUACCAAGGCUUUGACGGGUAGCCGGCCUGAGAGGGUGACCGGCCACAUUGGGACUGAGAUACGGCCCAGACUCCUACGGGAGGCAGCAGUGGGGAAUAUUGCACAAUGGGUGGAAGCCUGAUGCAGCAACGCCGUGUGCGGGAUGACGGCCUUCGGGUUGUAAACCGCUUUCGCUCAUGACGAAGCUUUGUGUGACGGUAGUGGGAAAAGAAGCACCGGCUAACUACGUG
rnacentral:rRNA from 1 species